rnacentral:rRNA from 1 species
CGAGUGGCGGACGGGGGAGUAAUGUCUGGGAAACUGCCCGAUGGAGGGGGAUAACUACUGGAAACGGUAGCUAAUACCGCAUAACGUCGCAAGACCAAAGAGGGGGACCUUCGGGCCUCUUGCCAUCGGAUGAACCCAUAUGGGAUUAGCUAGUAGGUGGGGUAACGGCUCACCUAGGCGACGAUCCCUAGCUGGUCUGAGAGGAUGACCAGCCACACUGGGACUGAGACACGGCCCAG